UGAGGAAUAUUGGUCAAUGGGCGGGAGCCUGAACCAGCCAAGUCGCGUGAGGGAAGACGGUCCUAUGGAUUGUAAACCUCUUUUGUCGGGGAGCAAAGAGGCCACGUGUGGUCAAAAGCGAGAGUACCCGAAGAAAAAGCAUCGGCUAACUCCGUGCCAGU
rnacentral:rRNA from 1 species